rnacentral:ncRNA from 2 species
GGGUCUAGGUUCUUUGCCUAGAGGAAACUCCGGUGGUCGGGCCGCCACCA